GAUGAAGAACGUAGCGAAAUGCGAUAAGUAGUGUGAAUUGCAGAAUUCAGUGAAUCAUCGAAUCUUUGAACGCACAUUGCGCCCCUUGGUAUUCCAUGGGGCAUGCCUGUUCGAGCGUCAUUUCAACCCUCAGGCCCCCAGUGCCUGGUGUUGGGGAUCGGCAGCAGGGCGUCAAGCCCGCCGGCCCCGAAAUCUAGUGGCGGUCUCGCUGUAGUCCUCCUCUGCGUAGUAGCACAACCUCGCAGUUGGAACGCGGCGGUGGCCAUGCCGUUAAACACCCCACUUCUGAAAGUUGACCUCGGAUCAGGUAGGAAUACCCGCUGAACUUAAGCAUAUCAAUAAGCGGAGGA
rnacentral:misc_RNA from 1 species